CUGUGUGUUGUUGGGUAGGGGAGCGUUCUGUAAGCCUGUGAAGGUGGCCUGUGAGGGUUGCUGGAGGUAUCAGAAGUGCGAAUGCUGACAUAAGUAACGAUAAAGCGGGUGAAAAGCCCGCUCGCCGGAAGACCAAGGGUUCCUGUCCAACGUUAAUCGGGGCAGGGUGAGUCGACCCCUAAGGCGAGGCCGAAAGGCGUAGUCGAUGGGAAACAGGUUAAUAUUCCUGUACUUGGUGUUACUGCGAAGGGGGGACGGAGAAGGCUAUGUUGGCCGGGCGACGGUUGUCCCGGUUUAAGCGUGUAGGCUGGUUUUCCAGGCAAAUCCGGAAAAUCAAGGCUGAGGCGUGACGACGAGGCACUACGGUGCUGAAGCAACAAAUGCCCUGCUUCCAGGAAAAGCCUCUAAGCAUCAGGUAACAUCAAAUCGUACCCCAAACCGACACAGGUGGUCAGGUAGAGAAUACCAAGGCGCUUGAGAGAACUCGGGUGAAGGAACUAGGCAAAAUGGUGCCGUAACUUCGGGAGAAGGCACGCUGACACGUAGGUGAAGUGAUUUACUCAUGGAGCUGAAGUCAGUCGAAGAUACCAGCUGGCUGCAACUGUUUAUUAAAAACACAGCACUGUGCAAACACGAAAGUGGACGUAUACGGUGUGACGCCUGCCCGGUGCCGGAAGGUUAAUUGAUGGGGUCAGCGCAAGCGAAGCUCCUGAUCGAAGCCCCGGUAAACGGCGGCCGUAACUAUAACGGUCCUAAGGUAGCGAAAUUCCUUGUCGGGUAAGUUCCGACCUGCACGAAUGGCGUAAUGAUGGCCAGGCUGUCUCCACCCGAGACUCAGUGAAAUUGAACUCGCUGUGAAGAUGCAGUGUACCCGCGGCAAGACGGAAAGACCCCGUGAACCUUUACUAUAGCUUGACACUGAACAUUGAGCCUUGAUGUGUAGGAUAGGUGGGAGGCUUUGAAGUGUGGACGCCAGUCUGCAUGGAGCCGACCUUGAAAUACCACCCUUUAAUGUUUGAUGUUCUAACGUGGACCCGUAAUCCGGGUUGCGGACAGUGUCUGGUGGGUAGUUUGACUGGGGCGGUCUCCUCCUAAAGAGUAACGGAGGAGCACGAAGGUUGGCUAAUCCUGGUCGGACAUCAGGAGGUUAGUGCAAUGGCAUAAGCCAGCUUGACUGCGAGCGUGACGGCGCGAGCAGGUGCGAAAGCAGGUCAUAGUGAUCCGGUGGUUCUGAAUGGAAGGGCCAUCGCUCAACGGAUAAAAGGUACUCCGGGGAUAACAGGCUGAUACCGCCCAAGAGUUCAUAUCGACGGCGGUGUUUGGCACCUCGAUGUCGGCUCAUCACAUCCUGGGGCUGAAGUAGGUCCCAAGGGUAUGGCUGUUCGCCAUUUAAAGUGGUACGCGAGCUGGGUUUAGAACGUCGUGAGACAGUUCGGUCCCUAUCUGCCGUGGGCGCUGGAGAACUGAGGGGGGCUGCUCCUAGUACGAGAGGACCGGAGUGGACGCAUCACUGGUGUUCGGGUUGUCAUGCCAAUGGCACUGCCCGGUAGCUAAAUGCGGAAGAGAUAAGUGCUGAAAGCAUCUAAGCACGAAACUUGCCCCGAGAUGAGUUCUCCCUGAGACUUUAAGUCUCCUGAAGGAACGUUGAAGACGACGACGUUGAUAGGCCGGGUGUGUAAGCGCAGCGAUGCGUUGAGCUAACCGGUACUAAUGAACCGUGAGGCUUAACCUUACAACGCCGAAGCUGUU
rnacentral:rRNA from 1 species